AGCAAAAUUUCUCAUGCUGCCAUUUAUCAGUGUCCAAUACAAGGGAGAGAUUCCAUUGCCUCUGAACUUAACUCACUAUUAUACCAUUGUUUUUAACAUGUGGGAAAAUGUUACCUGAGCCUGCAGCUCAAAUUGUAAGGAGAGCAAAGGAAGGUAAAGGUGAUAGUGAUGGGCAGUGAAAACAUGCUUUUAAUAUUCUGUGUUACUCAUGAUAUUCAUGUAAUAACAUUUCUUAUAAGAGCCCAAAAUAUGGACAGUGCCCAACUAUCUCAGAACCUAACCCCCUUUAAUGACAUGUGUAUUUAUGUAUUCCUGUGGAAAUGGAGAGUUAUCUGUAUAUACAAUAUUCUGUGUAUAUAUAAUACAGUUUAAUAUAUGAUGUAUGUAUUAUAUAUAUAUGUGUGUGUGUAUGUGUAGCUGUGUAUGUUUAAAUAUUUUUAUAUAUGUUUUUGUAUAACAAAAUUAUAUGUAGGUUAGUUAAAACUCAUAAAACUUAAACUUUAUCCCAUGAAAAAGCUACAAUCAAGGUUUAGCUGGAAGACAAAAGAGCCAUGAUUUAGACUUCAAAACAGGUACCCUGCCAGGUAUUUCAGAAAUCUUAGUUGCCUGGCAAAAUAGCACCCAUUCAAUGCAGUGUUAUGUUAUGGCCCAGAAAGACAUGAUACCAUGGCAGGAGGAUUACCUGUAAAGAUAUAGGUGAGGAUUUUGCAUGAUAUUUAUGUUUGAAAUAGAAAUUUUGAAAAUGUGUCUUUCAUAAUUCAGGAAGAUUUUUUUGUGUUUUAAGUUUAAAUACUGUUAUAAGUCUAUUUCUCAGAUUCACAAAAAAAAAGUUGUGUAUCAAGAAAAAGAUAUGGUGAAAGUACUGCCUGAGUGAAUUUCAGAUGAAAGUGCUACUCGCCUAGUUUAUAUCAAGACAAUUGAUACUUGGAAAUGUUUUGAUGGAUGUUUGGACAAGGAGCAGACGCUUGAGCAAUGAACGUAUUUAGCUUGGCGUUGGAAUGUUUAUAUGUGUUUUAUGUUACUCAGUAAAGGAAAGUUUUAGUUUAUUAUAUAGCAAGAAAGAUAAAUACUGUGUCUACAUAGAUAUAUAACACGCAAUUUUUUUUUCUUUGCUGUUGUCAAGUUUACUUACCAUAUAUCUACUGUCAUGUUCACCCAGUUGCUUUCAAGUAUUUGCUAACAUGGUUGGAUUUUAUGUGUAAAUCUUCCAGUUUUUUUAGGGAGAUUGAAAAUUACCGCGCCAAAGAUAUAGUCGCUUACUAUGCAACAAUUUAUGUUUUGUCAUUUUUCAUAGUCAUAGGGUUUUUACUAUUUAUUCAGUUUCAGAGCUGUUUCACAGUGCAGUACAGUGUAAGCUCGUUAAUUCAUAUUAAUCAGGAGUUGCUAUUGAUAACUGUUCCAACUGCCCAGAUUUGCUUAAUGAUUAUUAAAGGCAUAUACUUAGCCAUUGCCAGCCUAAACUUUUACUAAUUGUUAAUGAACCAAUUUUUGCUUUAUUAAAGUGUUAGAAAACACACAGGGCAGCCUUAGUUAAGUUUUUCAACUUGGUGGUCUUGUUAAACUGCCAAAUAUUAACAGUUUAAAACGUGAAAAAAUUAUGUUUAGAAAUGCAAAAGUAUAUUUAGAAGUUCAAAAUGAAUUUUUCUCUGUAUUAAGAAAUGUAAUUAUUGUCCUCAUUUACAAUUUUUUUCUCUGAAACACAUUGUACCUCGAGGUGCAACAGCCUCUACAGAAAUUGUAAGGGUUUAGCACGAAGUACCUAGGGGACUGCUUUUUUUGGCUUGUUUUAGCUCAAGAAAUAUAUAUCCAAAUCUAAACACACUUUUUAUAUUAGUUUCGAUUUUGUUUGCAUGUUAUCCUGCAGUUGUCUGUUGUUUAUAGCAAAAAUGCAUACUAACACCAACUUGAAACAUUGCAUGACAUUGCAAAUGUAAAAAGAUAAUCAGUGGAAGUGAUAUGGCUUUUUAAGUUGAAAUCCACUGACUUACAGGUAAAUGGACAUUUCCAAAGCUUUGGAAUUAGUAUAUACCCCUUGUGUACAAUAUUUUUUUUUAAGGCACUGGUCCCUGCAGAGAAACAAAUGCAUUUGGUAGGCACGAUACAUGCAAACAAAAUAUAAGUUAAAUGCACAAGCACCCUGUUGAAUAAAAUGUACGUAAUAGAUUAGAUAUAGUACUCAGUUGACAAAUUUAUUGACUGUUAAAUAUGCUUUGUGGACAGAAUUUAUCUAGUAGACAAAAUACCUUGUACAUCAAAUACUUAGAUGAAUUUGCCUAUUUGGUGUGUUUGUUCAUUGGAUACAUUUAGUGGUUUGGAUGCAUUUGAUAAAUUGAAUACAGUUUGUCUAUUGGGUACAUUUUGCAUAUUGGAUGCAUUUUGUCUGCUGUGUUACUCAGCAGGGACCUUCAGCAGGUUUGGCAUUUUCUACUGAUUUAUGAGAAUCAGUAAUAUAAACUCAGUUUCUUACAUAGAAGCUAUGCCCACACUUUUUCUGUAGUAAGCCAUGUUACUUCUAGUUGGCACUCAUAUGUAAUUCUGAAACAGGCAAUAGAUUAAAUCUUGAUCACCCAAAUUAUAUUAAUUUGGUAUAUAAGUACAUAUAUUGAAAUAUGGCAGAUCCCAUUCACAUGUAGGCAUUAAGGGAAAUGAUGAUGGUAAAUCAACUAGAGUUGCAAUUCAUAUAACCACAUCAGAUAUAUAAAUUCCUGUCAGUGACUCGAUACUAUCUCUAUAACCCAUUAUCUUGGUGCAAAUGAUGAACUGUGUUGGAUUGGCCUGUGUGGAAAGAAGGUGAGUAAGGCUCCUGGUACUUUGAUAUGGUCACAUAACCAUCAUAGCAGGUGAUUGUUUAAAGCCUCAAAAAACCAUCAUUAAUUGAUGGCAAACUUCAUGGAAUAAUGAAUCUGUAACAAGAAGUCAAGCAAAUCAAAUUCAUUUGGAUUAUGGUAUUUUUUGAAUCAGAAUGAAUGCCACUUUGAAAUAAUUUCAUCCAGUUUUUAAAUUGGUUUCUCAUGUGAUUCAUACUCAUAAUGAACAGCCUGCAAGACCCAUUCCUUGUAAGCACAGAAUGCAGGCUAGCCUAAUGGUUAUAAAUAUGUAAUUGUGAAGUUUUAGAAAAAAAGUCAGUUAAUAAAAAUUUUUCAUAAUAUUCAUAAUAUGUAGUUUAUCUAGUAAGCAAAUUUUUAAAGAGCCAUCAGUUACUGGGAACAAUUUUAACUUUAUUAUUAAAUACCAAACUUCUUGACCAUCCCUGUUAUGAUCAGGUAUUCCACUGUAACUCAGUGAUGAGGUUAAACUACUUUACGAUGAUGAUACUUGAUGUUUUGAUAUUAAACUAAACUCCACACAGGCCUUUGGGCAAUACAUUUAUGUGAAGUGAAUGUUUAAAAGUCUUAGAAAUGAACAUAGUAUUCCAUAUUCCCCUCCUGAUCGCAUUCUCUAAGCGGUGCACAUUAAAACUCGUUGUAUGUUUGUCUCUUAUUUUGUUUGUAAUUCAUCACUAGUUUGACAAACUAGCAUAAGCCAUUUUUUUCUCAUUCUGAGAAAAUAGGCUUCAAAGAAUUUUAUACUAGUAUUCAAAGCUUAUAAUUAGCUCAUCUUUUGUGAAAAUUAUUUUGGAAAAUCUGACAAUCCAGACAGCUGAAAUUUUGUUAUGCUACAGAAUAUCAGAAUUAUAGACACUGACUGGAAAACUCAAAAACUUAAAAAAAAAAAAAAAAUGGGAUAUGCCAGUUUGUCAAAACAGGGAUGAAUUAACCCUACCUAGGAACCUUGAGAUCAUAGUCAAACUUUUUUUGUAACUAAUGGGUCAGCAAUUGUGGAGUGACAUAGAUUUAGUUGGUGUCAUAAUUAUAGUAUUUGUCAGGAUAUGGUGUGAUAUCAUAUAGCAUGUGAUCUUUAGUAAAAGUAAUAAAUAAAGUGGACAGUUUGUAAGGGGAUGGCAUUACAAGUGGAAAUCCUUUCUCUCUUUUGGUAUGUGAGUGUUAAUAGUAUUAAGCAUUUUAUGACUAGUCACAAAAAUAUCUAGUACACAUAGUACAACACUGUAAACCUACAUCUCGCUGUUAUAUUUCACAACUUUUUAUAAAGGGCUGAUGAACAUUUCCAGAGAUUCUCACCAUCUUUUUGUUUAUUGUGUAAAAAACUAAAACUAUGCUUGAUGUAGUAGGAGGGAGUUCUCGUCAGUCUAUGCAUAUAGUACAUGUAGUAAGAUAUAAUCUUCAGUCACAUCCUGCUUGUUUAAGUGGUUACAAAGUGGAAUGAGAAGAGAAAUAGGUUUGCCUGUGAUUUGUUCACCUUAAAUGUGUGGCUAUUACUAGCAAAUACAUAUCCUGCAGUAAGUUUUUACUUUUACUGUAUCAUUACAAUUACGCUUACAUUAUAUGCAUGUUGAUAUAAAAUAAAUGAAAUGGAAUGUUUAGUGAAAGUUGCCAUCAUCUCUCCCCUUUUCAUUAUCAUCACCAUAAUGAUCUUUUUGCUAUUGACAAUUUUUACAUCAUAGUAGUGUUAUGUUCUAUUUGCACAUUGCUGUAGUAGUCUUGAAAUAGUGUUUCUUCCACUCUAGAGAAUGCUCUGCAAAGCACAUUUUAUAUGCAGUAAGAAUUUGUGGCUGAUGAAAAUGAGGAUGAACAGCUCACCAGUUGCCUUAUUAUAGUUGUCAACUAUGUAUUAGUCAUAUCCAUACUGUGUUUACAUGGAAUAGUAGAGAUCAAACUCAUAUUCUUUGUAUAUGAUUCUCAAAUGGUUGUAGUUCCAGCUUGCACAGUUAAUCCCCAAACUGCUGCUGUUGUAAAAAUUGAUGCCGCUAAAAGGUGAAUAUUGUUGUUAUGGUGAUGGUUGAAUUUUACAGCCAAUGGGUAAAUCCUAUCAUCCCCAUGAGGUUGGGAUUGUAUGUUGUAACAGUCAAGAUAAGGUAAUCAGGUUGUAGAUAAGAGAGCCAGUUUAUAUUUAUUCUUAUGGUAUUGUUUGGCCACCAGUAAUUGCUAAGAUCAUGCACAAAUUUUUAUAAUUUUUUUUUCAUUGACAAAGAUACAAGGUGACUUACCAUAUGUACUCGUGUAUCAUGCAACUUACUGAGAAUUUUUCUGGGUUACAUCAUACUUGAAGUAUAAAAUGUGAUUGUGUGGGCAUGGUCAUGUCUAAAUUGUAACACAAAGCUUGGUUUAUUGUUUAUUAUUCAUCAGUUUGUAAGCCACAAUUCACACAUCUUAGUGAUUGUUAUUAAUUGUUUAUAUAAGCUUUUUGCAUGAAAAUGCUGUGAUAGGCUAUAAUAUAAAUGUACAAUUCUAAAUAAGUUAGAAAAAAAUUUGUUUUAAAAUGAAGAUGAACAAUAAGUAUUGGAGACAUACAUUAUUACUGACUCAUGUAAGUUGCCAACUAAAACUAGUGAGUAUUUGACAACAUAAUUUCUAAUCAUGUAUGUCUACUGUAUUUUUAAUGGUUUCAUUAAAUGUUUUGAAUAAAUUGCU